rnacentral:rRNA from 1 species
AUACGGAGGGUGCAAGCGUUACUCGGAAUCACUGGGCGUAAAGCGCGCGCAGGCGGGCUGAUAAGUUGGAUGUGAAAGCCUACGGCUCAACCGUAGAACUGCAUCCAAAACUGUCAAGCUAGAGUCUGGGAGGGGAAGAUGGAAUUAGUUGUGUAGGGGUAAAAUCCGUAGAGAUAACUAGGAAUACCAAAAGCGAAGGCGAUCUUCUGGAACAGUACUGACGCUGAGGCGCGAAAGCGUGGGGAGCAAACAGGAUUAGAAACCCGAGUAGUCC